UACGGAGGAUGCAAGCGUUAUCCGGACUGAUUGGGUGUAAAGCAUCUGUAGGCGGUUUUGGAAGUCUACGGUUAAAUCCCAGGGCUUAACUUUGGUUCAGCCGUAGAGUACUUCAAAGCUUGAGUAUGGUAGGGGUAGAGGGAACUUCUCGUGGAGCGGUGAAAUGCACAGAGAUGAGAAGGAACACCAGUGGCGAAAGCGCUCUACUGGGCCAUGACUGACGCUGAGAGAUGACAGCUGAGGGAGCGAAUAGG
rnacentral:rRNA from 1 species